GUCGAACGGAAACAUGUCUAGCUUGCUAGAUGAUGUCGAGUGGCGGACGGGUGAGUAAUGCUUGGGAACUUGCCUUUGCGAGGGGGAUAACAGUUGGAAACGACUGCUAAUACCGCAUAAUGUCUACGGACCAAACNGGGCUUCGGCUCUGGCGCAAAGAGAGGCCCAAGUGAGAUUAGCUAGUUGGUGAGGUAAAGGCUCACCAAGGCAACGAUCUCUAGCUGUUCUGAGAGGAAGAUCAGCCACACUGGGACUGAGACACGGCCCAGACUCCUACGGGAGGCAGCAGUGGGGAAUAUUGCACAAUGGGGGAAACCCUGAUGCAGCCAUGCCGCGUGUGUGAAGAAGGCCUUCGGGUUGUAAAGCACUUUCAGUUGUGAGGAAAAGUUAGUAGUUAAUACCUGCUAGCCGUGACGUUAACAACAGAAGAAGCACCGGCUAACUCCGUGCCAGCAGCCGCGGUAAUACGGAGGGUGCGAGCGUUAAUCGGAAUUACUGGGCGUAAAGCGCACGCAGGCGGUUUGUUAAGCUAGAUGUGAAAGCCCCGGGCUCAACCUGGGACGGUCAUUUAGAACUGGCAGACUAGAGUCUUGGAGAGGGGAGUGGAAUUCCAGGUGUAGCGGUGAAAUGCGUAGAUAUCUGGAGGAACAUCAGUGGCGAAGGCGACUCCCUGGCCAAAGACUGACGCUCAUGUGCGAAAGUGUGGGUAGCGAACAGGAUUAGAUACCCUGGUAGUCCACACCGUAAACGCUGUCUACUAGCUGUUUGUGACUUUAAGUCGUGAGUAGCGAAGCUAACGCGAUAAGUAGACCGCCUGGGGAGUACGGCCGCAAGGUUAAAACUCAAAUGAAUUGACGGGGGCCCGCACAAGCGGUGGAGCAUGUGGUUUAAUUCGAUGCAACGCGAAGAACCUUACCUACACUUGACAUGUUGAGAAGUUACCAGAGAUGGUUUCGUGCCUUCGGGAACUCAA
rnacentral:rRNA from 1 species